ensembl:snRNA LOC120100219 U7 small nuclear RNA
AGCUAUUACAGCUCUUUUAGAAUUUUCCAGCAGGUUUUUGAAACCCAA